rnacentral:rRNA from 2 species
UGUAUAGCAAUAGCUAAUUGCACUAAAAAUUUUUAGUGUAAAAUCGACUAUGUCGAAUAAAAUUCUGGGUAGAUUUUUGAUAAUGACAUUAUCUGUCCAUAAGUCUUGACCAAAUUACGUGCCAGCAGUCGCGGUAAUACGUAGAAGACAAGUGUUAUUCAUCUUUAAUAGGUUUAAAGGGUACUUAGACGGGAAAUAAAGCCUCAAAAAGGGACUAGUUUUCUAGAGUUUUAUGUGAAGAAGUAUUAAAGUACUAUUGGUGGAGAGAUGAAAUUCAGUUAUACCUUAAUGGCACGGGUUAAGGCGAAGGCAUCUUCUUAUGUAAAAACUGACGUUGAAGGACGAAGGCUUUGUGUCUCGAACAGGAUUAGAUACCCUAGUAGUCUAAGCAGACAAUGAUGAAUGUCAUAGAUUAGAUGUAAUUUGAUCUAUAAAUGAAAGUGUAAGCAUUCCACCUCAAGAGUAAUUUGGCAACAUUGGAACUGAAAUCAUUAGACCGUUUCUGAAACCAGUAGUGAAGUAUGUUGUUUAAUUUGAUAAUCCGCAAAGAACCUUACCACAACUUGAAUAGAUAUAUUUUAUCAUACAAGCGUUGCACGGCUGUCUUCAGUUAAUGUCGUGAGACUAUGGUUAGUUCCAUUAAAUUAACGUAAACCCUUACUUUAUUUUAAAAUAAAGUAGUUCACCGCUAGAUU